GCCGCUUCUUUUCCACUGUAAGCAAGAAGAACGCCGGCACCAGAAGGAAGAAAGAAGAAGAAAGAAGAGGAAAGAAAAAGAAGAAAGUUCUGCUCCACCAGGUCCAGCCUCUUCUUCUCGACUGCAUCUGCUUCACGAGCGGUUCACCAUGAACAACCUCUCGUCGUUCACAUUUCUCGACUCCAAUCCACUCUCCAAGCCUCGCUCUUUGGGGCCCCACUACCAUGGGCCCAUUCACCUCCAGCGUCCCAGAAAUGUUGUGGUAUGCUCGGUGAAGCCCUCAGUUGCCCCUCCCUCAUCUCUAAGUGUGUCUGGGUCCCCCAACCAGGGGCUAAGUCGAAUUGAGUCACUAACCCAGGUCUCAGGUGUGUUGGGCUGCCAGUGGGGAGAUGAAGGUAAAGGCAAACUUGUCGACAUCUUGGCCCAACACUUUGACAUCGUUGCUCGUUGUCAGGGUGGAGCUAAUGCUGGACACACCAUUUACAAUGCAGAGGGAAAGAAGUUUGCACUUCACCUUGUUCCCUCAGGUAUCCUUAAUGAAGAGACUCUUUGUGUUAUUGGGAAUGGAGUUGUGGUGCAUCUACCUGGUCUCUUUAAGGAGAUUGAUGGCCUUGAAUCUAAUGGAGUCUCCUGCAAGGGAAGGAUAUUGGUCUCUGAUCGUGCUCACCUCCUAUUCGAUUUCCACCAAGUAGUGGAUGGGCUUCGAGAAUAUGAGCUUGCUAAAUCUUUCAUUGGCACUACCAAGAGAGGUAUUGGACCUUGUUACUCUAACAAGGUUAUCCGAAAUGGCAUUCGAGUCAGUGACUUGAGGCACAUGGAUACUUUCCCUCAGAAGCUAGAUCUUCUAUUAUCAGAUGCGGCAUCAAGAUUCCAAGGUUUUGACUAUGGUCCUCAUGUGCUCAAAGAAGAAGUUGAGAAGUAUAAGCGAUUUGCUGAGAGAUUGGAACCCUUCAUUGCAGAUACAGUGUUUGUCGUGAAUGAAGCCAUCUCUGAGAAGAAAAAGAUUUUGGUCGAAGGGGGUCAGGCAACAAUGUUGGAUAUUGACUUUGGAACUUACCCCUUUGUAACAUCCUCUAGUCCUUCAGCCGGUGGAAUUUGCACCGGUCUUGGCAUUGCUCCCAGAGUUCUAGGCGAUCUGGUUGGAGUGGUGAAAGCAUACACUACAAGAGUUGGUUCUGGUCCUUUUCCCACAGAAAUCUUGGGUAAAGGGGGCGAUCUCCUUAGGUUUGCUGGUCAGGAGUUUGGCACAACCACUGGUCGCCCUCGUCGUUGCGGUUGGCUUGAUAUAGCAGCACUGAAAUACUGCUGUCAGAUUAAUGGCUUUUCUUCUCUCAAUCUCACCAAACUUGACGUUUUGUCGGAUCUUCUUGAAAUUCAGUUGGGUUUUGCCUACAAACAAAUUGAUGGUACACCAAUAAAAUCAUUCCCUGCAGACCUUCGUGAUCUUGAGCAGUUAAAGGUGGAAUAUGAAGUAUUGCCUGGAUGGAAGUCUGAUAUAUCUUCUGUCAGAAACUAUUCUGACCUUCCAAAGGCUGCACGCCAGUAUGUGGAAAGGAUAGAAGAACUUGUUGGCAUACCCGUCCAUUACAUUGGUGUGGGGCCUGGACGCGAUGCACUCAUUUACAAAUAAUCAUCACAAUAUUUAUUUCCUUUAGAUUCCAGAUGAUGUUCGAACUGUCAGAAGUAAUACAGAACUUCUGGUUUUGGAGGAAUUUAUUCCCUUUUAUGUCAGAAGCUCUUUUUUUGGAAUAGAAUUAAUUGUUCAUGGUUAUGAACUUGAUGCAACGCAUUCUCCACCCGGUGAGGCCACAUGAAGUCUAUGUUGUGUUUAGCGGCUGGGAUAAUUUUUUUUUCAGUAACAUUAGGUUAGGCAUGGUAGCAACUUUCCACAGACUUGCUGUAGCUCGACUGAAGGAUCUCUCAAAGAUGUACUUGACACUGGUCAAGCGUUGGAUCAAGGAUGGAUGAAACGGAUCGUUAUCUUGUCCAUUGUCCAGAGAAGCCGUCACGCAAGUCAUGUGAUUUUCCCAAGAGGGGCUUGACGAUGACAGCAAGAAUUUUUUAUUUUUUAUUUUAUUUUAUUUUAUUUUUUAUAAAAAUAAGUUGAGUCUGGUAGCUCCAAGAAGUAGCACUUGAAAAAGCACAAAAGGAAUAAAGGAGGAGAGAAGUAAA